rnacentral:tRNA from 1 species
GGCAACUUGCCAGAGUGGUUAAUGGGUGAGACUCGAAAUCUCAUGACUUCGGUCGCACAGGUUCGAAUCCUGUAGUUGUCG